UUGAACGCUGGCGGAAUGCUUUACACAUGCAAGUCGAGCGGCAGCGCGGGGGCAACCCUGGCGGCGAGCGGCGGACGGGUGAGUAAUGCAUCGGAACGUACCUAGUCGUGGGGGAUAACUAUCCGAAAGGAUAGCUAAUACCGCAUACGUCCUGAGGGAGAAAGCAGGGGAUCGCAAGACCUUGCGCGAUUAGAGCGGCCGAUGUCGGAUUAGCUAGUUGGUGGGGUAAAGGCCUACCAAGGCAACGAUCCGUAGCUGGUCUGAGAGGAUGAUCAGCCACACUGGGACUGAGACACGGCCCAGACUCCUACGGGAGGCAGCAGUGGGGAAUUUUGGACAAUGGGCGCAAGCCUGAUCCAGCCAUUCCGCGUGAGUGAAGAAGGCCUUCGGGUUGUAAAGCUCUUUCGGUCGGGACGAAACGGCGGAUGCUAAUACCAUCCGUUACUGACGGUACCGACAGAAGAAGCACCGGCUAACUACGU
rnacentral:rRNA from 1 species